rnacentral:lncRNA from 1 species
CGUAAGCCCUGGCUAGGAAACUGUCAAUAGUGUUUCCAUCCAAAGAUCCUUAGUCACUUGUGCAAGGCCUUUGCCAUCUAAGUAACAGACAGAACCUUUGAGAGCACUGCCAAGAAGGUUACAGUCUGAGACACAGAAACAUGGAAGUCAAACAAAGAAGUGCAACCAAGGAGAGACUUAACAGCUGAGAGCUUGGAAAGAUGUUUAAAGGGCAGGUACUGGAUUCUGGGCAGACUGCUGAGAAAACAAGUGAGCCAAGGGUGCGUGUGUUGGAGGAGGAGUGCCAGUUAAGAGGUGAUUACAAGAAGUCUCAAGAACCUGUGCUGAUGAAUUUGGGAACAAAGCAGGGUACUCAGGUGAUGCUGUAAUCAGUUGACCCAAGUUAAAGAUCAUAGCAGGUAUUGCAAGGAUGGAGAGUGCCUCAUCAAGGCCUCAGCUCCCACCUUUCUCCUUAAUAUUGGGGUUUGACUCCACACCCCUCUACCCUAGAUGAGUAUCCUGUCAUUCUUUCCCAGAAGUUGGUCACAAACCCAGGCUGGUCCAACAAGAC